UUGCCAGACUCCUACGGGAGGCAGCAGUGGGGAAUAUUGGGCAAUGGGCGCAAGCCUGACCCAGCAACGCCGCGUGAAGGAAGAAGGCUUUCGGGUUGUAAACUUCUUUUAUGAGGGACGAAAGAAAUGACGGUACCUCAUGAAUAAGCCACGGCUAACUGCGUGCCAGCAGCCGCGGUAAUACGUAGGUGGCAAGCGUUAUCCGGAUUUACUGGGUGUAAAGGGCGUGUAGGCGGGACUGCAAGUCAGAUGUGAAAUCCGGGGGCUCAACCCCCGAACUGCAUUUGAAACUGUAGGUCUUGAGUAUCGGAGAGGCAGGCGGAAUUCCUAGUGUAGCGGUGAAAUGCGUAGAUAUUAGGAGGAACACCAGUGGCGAAGGCGGCCUGCUGGACGACAACUGACGGUGAGGCGCGAAAGCGUGGGGAGCAAACAGGAUUAGAUACCCGAGUA
rnacentral:rRNA from 1 species